GACGAACGCUGGCGGCGUGCUUAACACAUGCAAGUCGAACGGAAAGGCCCCUUUGGGGGUACUCGAGUGGCGAACGGGUGAGUAACACGUGAGUAACCUGCCCUUGACUUCGGGAUAACUUCAGGAAACUGGGGCUAAUACCGGAUAGGAAUCCUUGCUGCAUGGUGGGGGUUGGAAAGCUUCGGCGGUUUUGGAUGGACUGGCGGCUUAUCAGCUUAUUGGUGGGGUAGUGGCUUACCAAGGCUAUGACGGGUAGCCGGCCUGAGAGGGCGACCGGCCAUAUUGGGACUGAGAUGCGGCCCCGACUCCUACGGGAGGAAGCAGUGGGGAAUCUUGAACCAUGGGCGGAGGCCUGAUGCAGCAGCGCCGCGGGCGGGAUGACGGCCUUCGGGUUGUAAACCGCUUUCAGCAGGGGCGAAGCUUGUGGUGACGGUACCUGAAGAAGAAGCACCGGCUAACUACGUG
rnacentral:rRNA from 1 species